rnacentral:lncRNA from 1 species
AUGUAGUUUUAACUAAAACUAUCUAGUUUCAAAGUAUCCUAUAUAAUUUUAAAUAAAAUACAUAGUUUUGAUGUACCAAAUUAAAAAAAAAAACUAAAUAAAACUAUAUAAUUUAGUAAAACUAUAUAGCUUUGAUGUACCAAACUAAAAAAACCUAAAUAAAAUUACAUAAUUUAAAAUAGAACUAUGUAUUUUUUAUAUACUAAACUUAAGAAAAUCCAAGACAAAGUAAACUCUAAUUCAAUUAUCUUCUUCUCCUCUCAAACUCGCGUCAACUCAACCUUCUCAGAGCCUCCACCACCCACCCCCUGCUUCACGCCGCCGUUCACUCUAUUGCUGCUGCCAUUCACGUCGUCGGUGCUGCCGUCCAGACCACCACUGCUGCCGUCCACGCUGCUGCUGUGUUCAAGCCGCCGCUGCUGGCGUCGUUCUCAACCGCUGCUCCGUCUCAGGUAAGGUUUUUGCCAAAGUUUCUUGAGUUAACGAUUUUGAUUGUGGCUGUCAUUUUAGAUGCUAUAAAAGAGGAGAUUACCCAACUCCUUUUACUUUAACACACCUAAUAUAACUGCUCAUUUCUUUCCACCUUUACACAGAAAAGCAACCAAGAAGAGAUAGAAAGCAUGUCAUUUGAAAUGCUACAUAGUAACUGUACUAGGUGAAGAAUACUGUGACAAAAAAAAAAAGAUACUAGGUAAAGAAUACAGUUAGCUUACAUAGUGCAGAGGUGGCCCUUGUAAACUUAUCACUGUCAAUAUUAUGUUAGACUUCUAAUCAGCUGAACAAAUAAUUUCGGUUUAGUUUUAGAUUUUCAUUUGUAAUUUUAUUUGAAUUAACGGUUGUUUUUCAGUUAACAAUUCAUCUAGUAUAAAUAUUUUUUAUAUUUUUUAUAUGCAUAAUACAUUAUAACUACUUAUUUUUAUAUAUUCAUUCUUAUUUUAAACUUUUAGGAUCUUAUUCAACUGUAGAAGCAAGUUGUUUAUCUUCAGUUGAGAAAGAUGUUGAAUUAUGAAGUGUAUUUCCAUGAAGUUUUUAUUGAGUAAGUGCUAUUUAAAUAUUUCUUAUAAUAAUAAUAAUUAUAAAUAGAUUUAUUAUUUAAUAUUUAAUAUGCUAAUGGUAUUUUUUUUUUUCAAAUUUGAUAGAUAAACAACUUGAAUAUGGAGUUGAAGAUCUACAAAGUGUAAUAAAUAUUGUAUUUUAUUUAGUUAUUAUUACUUAUGAUAUUGUUUUAGAUUUUACUAAAUUUAUGCUUGAUUUGUAUUAAUAUAUAGAAUAUUUAAUGUUGAAUUCUUAGACUUGAUUAGUAUAUGUUUUGUUAUUUUGUUAUUUAUUUAAAUUAUUGUAAACAUGUUUGGUAAACAGAUACCAAUUUAAUUACCCGUAUAUUCAUAUAAAUAGAUUUUAAUGGAUAGAGUAUCCGCUACCCAUUUAAAUACUCAUAAAAUUUAUUUAAUCUAAACAGGUUUUAAUCGGAUUUAGAUAGCUUGUGAGUAAUUUUAUUAAGAUUUGGGACGGGUUCGAAUUACAAGUGUCAUUUCUUAAACGGAUUUGGGACGGUUCAGAUAAGUAUGGUUUAAAUGCGUUCGGGUUCGGAUAGCAUUAAAUGGGCGAAUACCUUAGCCAUUGCCAUCCCUAGUUUGAUCCAGUUUAGAAGGGUAAUUAUAUAAGAUUUUUGAUUCUUUGCAUACUCGUAUGUAAUAGUGCAAAUGUGCUUGAAUGUCUUUAAUUAUAUUUGAGUUUAUUGUUAUAAUUUUUUUUUAUAGAAUUUGAAGUUUUAAAUUAUUUCUCUCUCUUAGAAUGUUAUUGCGCAGAGGACUUGAAUCACUCAACCUUUGUUAUAUCUCUAUGAACUUUCACUCUUUCUCUUUUUGUCUUUAUUUUAUGCAUGGAGUUCCUUCUUUUUUGGAAUGACAUCAUCGUGGUUCAUAGAGUCAUUUGAAUCUAUUCUAUUUUAUUUUGUUCAAACUCAGAGAUUAUAUGCAUCUUCUCCAUUGACUUGUGUGUUCUUCUCCUUUUCAUAAUUCACUGCAUUUUAGUUUUCAUAACUACUAUUACCACCUUUCAUCAAACUAUCUGUUAAACACUGUAAUUAAAUGUUUAUUGUAAGGGUAGUAUAGUCUUUUCCAUGUUAGAGUAUAAAUAGUUAUCUUUCCUUUAUUUUUAGGUUAAGCUUCUUUUGAUGAUCUACAUUAUGAUUUUCUUUCAAUCUUAUCAUGGUAUCAGAGCUUAAUUGUUUUACAAUCAGAAACAGCCUCGACGUCUGCUCGUUCUUCCUCUUCUUUGCUGCGUGCUUCUACUUCUUGUGCUGUGUGCGUUGCUGCUGUGUGUGCUGCUGCUGUGUUUUCCAUCCUCGACGUCUGCUCGUUCUUCCUCUUCUUUGCUGCGUGCUUCUACUUCUUAUGUUGUGUGCGUUGCUGCUGUGCGUCGGCAUUUCCACUUUGCACGCCACCUGCUCGACAAAACUCCCCUGUUCAAUCUGUUGUGCAGUCUGCUGCUGUUCGUGGCGUGUUGGUUUCGGAUGAAAUUCUUGUAAAGACGAGAAUAUUGUUAAAGAUAGUUGCAGCAAACAAUGAUGUUGGCAUGCCACCUGCUCGACAAAAUUCUUUAAGGUUGGAUUUGUUGAUAGGGGCUGUGGCUUAAAUUUAUUUGCUUGGUGGAAAAUUAUAUAUUGUGGUUUUAUAUUGAUAAAUGGU